rnacentral:rRNA from 1 species
UACGAGAGGCCCAACCGUUAUUCGGAUUUACUGGGCUUAAAGAGUUCGUAGGCGGCUUGGAAAGUGGGGUGUGAAAGCCCUCGGCUUAACCGAGGAAUUGCGCUCCAAACUACCGAGCUUGAGUAGGCUAGAGGUGAGCAGAACUGAUGGUGGAGCGGUGAAAUGCGUUGAUAUCAUCAGGAAUACCGGAGGCGAAGGCGGCUCACUGGGACCUAACUGACGCUGAGGAACGAAAGCUAGGGGAGCAAACGGG